UUCGCCCACAUGGUAACCAAAGCCAUCAGAAGUGUAUUCAGUGUGCUUACAAGCCUGGUGCGCCGACAUGCAUCCCAUAAUAGCCGAACUUAAAUAGAGUACAGGGUAUUUGAAAAUAAAGUGAAUAGUUUAUGAAUACCUUUGUUAUGUCUGUCCGAGUGUAGUCAGCUAUUAAAAGAUAAUGGAGCGCAAAUAUGCAAGUACCCCCCUUGUUAACGCAUAGGAGGAAUGGGUGUUUUUAAGUAUUCAACAACAGAACUCUUCCCGUCCCUGUCUCGGACACUGCACGGAGACUCCCGGUCAUGUCUCCAGCUCUUUGAAAAGGUGAAACGAAUAAGAUUAAAAUGGACAAAGAAUUUUCUGUAAGUGUAUCAUUAAGAUUUUACUCCACAGAUCGGGAAGAGAGCUGGACGGAGAGAGAGAGAGAGGGGGUGAAAGUGAAUGAGAGCAGCGGGAAGAAGGCUAUAGCACGAAAACAGGAGAGAAAAAGAGAACGUGGACAGCAGGGUAAGAAGCACUCAGCGACAACUAUUAGGCUAUAGUGGACGGGAAACAUCGGUACCUGAAUUUGGCUAACACCAGCCAGAUUUAAAUGAACGUCGUGGCAAGUCCCCCUUCCUUUGGAAUAAAGAGCAUCACCGUGUCACGCGGUCAGAGUCGACAAGUCUUCUCCUAAUGGCAUCUUAAGAAAUAAUCAAAAAGGAAGAAAAUACUUUUUAUCAAAACUCCAGGUUAGGUUGGUACUCCUGUGAUUUAUGGAUUGUGUACAAGGUAAGGAUUGCUACUAGGAGCUUGUGUCUGCAGGUAAAGCGCAAGACAGACCAACGUGCACAGCGGCCCAAGCGCGGUACAUCACCUGCUGGGUGUUAAUGAACAGUGGCGAUUCAACAUGUAGAAUCAUCUUGAAAUGAACAGAACAUGUCCGAUGUUCUGUAGUCAGAGCUGAUAGGAAGGCCACCAGCUGCACAUGGACAACAGUUGCGUUGGACUGUCUUGGCCUUAAAAGACAGGUACUGUCUGCAGUUGAAGAUAUCUACUGUGUUAUGAGUUAUGCCUGCUCUUCUGCCCUCACUGCCCUGGCCUGGCAUGGACCCAGAAGACAUAUCCUUAACAGAGUGUAUUAACCUCACUCAGUUAACCUUGACCCCUUCUACCCAGCAGCUCACACAGCCCUGAUGGUCAAUGGAAGCAGAGUAGAUUCAUUAUGAGGAUGGUGUUGUUGCUUUUAAGAAGCUAUACAUGAAAUAACAUUCUCAAGACCUAAUGUAUUUGUGAUGCCAUUAGUGUUUUAUUGUCAAUGUUCUUAUUGUCAUAUUUAGAAAUGAAUGUGCAGCUGUAUUAUACUGUGCUGGGCAAAAUGAUUUUGGCAUAGUUGUGCCUCUCCUCUCCUUCACUUAGAUUUUCAUUUGUAUAUGUGUUUGUGAUUCUGUGUUUGUGUGUGUGUGUGACCACACGGCAAGUUUACCUCGGGUGACCCCCAUUGACCCGAGGCAUCCCAGCGGAGGUCAAGCCUUGACAAAUGAGUUCAGGCGCAGAACAGCAAACAUUCCACAACAUGUUCUUCCUCAACAACUCCCCCUCUUUCUCUCUAUCUCUCUCUAUACUCCUCCUCUGAACAUCUAUCUCGUCAAAAGGUUGUAAGAAGGAGCUUAUCACACAUAAACAUAAUGGCAGAAGGUUGUGGAAAUGUUCCAGAACAUGAACUUCAGAGGAAGACAAACCUUAAUGCGCUACUUUUAUGUAAUGCUCUACAAAGUUCUGUCUUGUUUACAAAUGACUAAGGAAAAAUAAAGGGAUGUUAGUCAAAAAAAGCAAAGUAAACCCAUUGGAUGUUAGUAUUAAACUACUCUUUAUCAGUGUUUGGGGCUUCAGAACUGGGCAGUGAUGUAGAGGCUGAGAAAAGAUGUAGUGUUUAAACAGGAUGUGUAGGCUGUAGCAUUUCUGGCAACAUACACCCCCCCUGUCUCUCGCUCUCUCCCCAGUUUCUCUCUGAUUUCCCAGCAUGCUGCUGUCACCUGUGUCAGGCUAUUGGUAUUCUUCUUUGAGAGGCUCAUUAAGGUAAGUGGCACCCCCCCAUUACGAUGACCAGGCGAGCAAAGGUUCCUCUUGUCUUGCGAGUCCCCCAGGGAGUUAUCCUACCAUCUUCUCUACCCCAGUCAUGUCCACUACUCACUACAUUUUUUAAGAACACAUGAGGUCGCCACAGGUGAACCACUACGUCACAGGCAGAUCCAUACUGGAACAGAGGAAGCUAAUGCAAUGCAGUGCUAGGAUACCCUACAUAAAUCAUGAUUGUGUGUAAUAGCAUUCCUGUCAGAGAAAGCAACAUAGCACUGAAUAAAAUGACCAAUAAAUAUCAGUUCUAUUUCUA